rnacentral:rRNA from 1 species
AACAUGUACGCAACCUUCCUUUAACUGGAGAAUAGCCCCUCGAAAGAGGGAUUAAUACUCCGUAACAUUAUGAAGUGGCAUCACUUCAUAAUUAUAGCUCCGGCGGUUAAAGAUGGGCGUGCAACUGAUUAGAUAGUUGGCGGGGUAACGGCCCACCAAGUCUGCGAUCAGUAACUGGUGUGAGAGCACGACCAGUCACACGGGCACUGAGACACGGGCCCG